rnacentral:rRNA from 1 species
UACGUAGGGCGCAAGCGUUUAUCCGGAAUUAUUGGGCGUAAAGAGCUCGUAGGCGGUUUGUCGCGUCCGCUGUGAAAGUCCAGGCUCAACCCUGGGAUGCCGGUGGAUACUGUCGGGCUCGAGUCCGGAAGAGGAGUGUGGAAUUCCGUGGUGUAGCGGUGAAAUGCGCAGAUAUCAGGAGGAACACCAAUGGGCGAAGGCAGCACUCUGGGGACGUGACUGACGCUGAGACGCGAAAGCGUGGGGAGCAAACAGG